GUUAAAUGUAUUUUGGUUAUUGUUGAUCACUUUUCAAAAUAUGGCCAUUUCAUUAUGCCAUUCAUUUAUCGCUAAAACAGUAGCUAAAUUAUUUAUUUGGAAGAUUGUCCGCCUCCAUGGUAUUUCCAAAACCAUGAUUGGUGAUCUAUCUCUUUUUGAGCAGUUUUUGGAUAGAAAUAUUUCGCCUCCAAGGCAUAUAAUUGAAAUUUAGUUCAGCCUAUCAUCAGCAAACGAACGGGCAAACGAUCGUACUAUUGAAUCCUAUCUCUGUUGUUUUUCCUCAGAGUAAUCUAAGAAGUGGUUGAGCUAGGCUGAGUAUUGGAACAACACCUCCUUUCAAGGUGCAGCUCGGCAAACACCAUUUGAGGUAGUUUAUAGUCGACCACCUCUCACUCAAUUGUUUCCUACCUGGAGACAUAUAUUGAAUCUGUGGCCUAAAAUUUGGUUCACCAUGAUGAAAUUCUCCACUAGCUACAACAUAACUUCACACGAGCACAACAAUAGAUGAAAAAAUUUGUUGAUAAGCACUGAAGGGAUGUCCAAUUUGAUAUUGGUGACAAGGUGUUUCCCAAACUUUAGCCUCACACUCAAUAAUCCAUGGUGCGAAGAGUAAAUAAAAAAUUGACAGUAAAAUAUUUUGGUCCUUUUGAGAUUGUGGGAAAAAUACGUGUUGUCACUUACAAACUACAACUGUCAUUAGCCUCUAAGAUACAACUUCUUUUUUUCAUGUUUCUCAGCUGAAGAGAGCAAUUGGCAAUCAUGUAGUGGUGACCACUCUUCCUACAGAUUUGGUAACCAGUGACACUCCUCUCAUUGAGCCUGUAGCUAUUUGUCAAACCAAGACUGUCUAGAAAAAUGGUGCAAUUGUGUAGCAAUUCCUGGUCUAAUGGAAGGAUCAUUUUACAGAUGAUGCUACGCAUUGUUAUCAAAGGCGCACCUG
rnacentral:misc_RNA from 1 species